AUGGUAUUGGCUUACCGUGGCAGUGACGGUUAACGGGGGAUUAGGGUUCGAUUCCGGAGAGGGAGCCUGAGAAACGGCUACCACAUCUAAGGAAGGCAGCAGGCGCGCAAAUUACCCAAUUCUAACAGUUUGAGAGAGGUAGUAACAAGAAAUAACAAUACAAGGCAAUUAAAAUGCUUUGUAAUUGGAAUGAUAGAAAUUUAAACCCUUUUUAAAGUAUCAAUUGGAGGGCAAGUCUGGUGCCAGCAGCCGCGGUAAUUCCAGCUCCAAUAGCGUAUAUUAAAAUUGUUGCAGUUAAAAAGCUCGUAGUUGAAGUUCUGCUAAAAGUAACCGGUCUGCUUUUAAUAAAAGUGGUAUCUUGGUGUGUAUUUAGCAAUGAUGUCCUUUGAAGUGUUUUUUACUUUAUUGUAAUAAAGCAUAUUCAGGACUUUUACUUUGAGAAAAUUAGAGUGUUUCUAGCAGGCCGACGCUUUGAAUACUGCAGCAUGGAAUAAUAAGAUAGGAUUUUAGUU
rnacentral:rRNA from 1 species